AAGAGUUGCAAAACUCCAAACCCAUGUGAACAUACCUCGUGUUGCCUCGGCGGCGAGCGUAGUGCUCGGGAGGUGCUUACCCGGUACCUACCCUGGAGCUACCCGGUAGCUACCCUGGAGGACUUGCGCAUCCGCCGAAGGACUACUCAAACUCUUGUUUCUGUGUGGCACAUCUGAGUUAUUAUAUUUAAUAAGUCA
rnacentral:misc_RNA from 1 species